GAUGAACGCUGACAGAAUGCUUAACACAUCAGCAAUUGAUUGGUGGCGGACGGGUGAGUAAAGCGUAAAGAACUUGCCUCACAGCUAGGGACAACAUUUGGAAACGAAUGCUAAUACCUAAUACUGUGAGAGAGCUUUGCGUCCCCUUAGCUAGUUGGAGAGGUAACGGCUAACCAAGGCGAUGAUGGGUAGCCGGCCUGAGAGGGUGAUCGGCCACAAGGGUACUGAGACACUGCGCUUACUCAUACGGGAGGCAGCAGUGGGGAAUAUAGUACAAGGUACCAAAGUCUGAUCAAGCAAUUCUGUGUGCACGAUGAAGUUUUCGGAAUGUAAAGUGCUUUCAGUUGGGAAGCGGUACCAACAGAAGAAGUGACGGCUAAAUACGUGCCAGCAGCCGCGGUAAUUC
rnacentral:rRNA from 1 species